AAAAAGAUAAAUCCUAGUUUCCAUGUACAAUAUUUGACUGUCCGUCUUAUUUAAAAAAAUUAUGAAAAAAUUAAAAAGACAAGUCACACAUAAAAUAUUAAUCAUGUUUUAUCAUCUAACAACAAUAAAAAUACGAAUUAUAAAAUUUUUUUAUAUAAGACGGACAAUAAAAAUUGGACACGAAAAUCUAAGGUUUGACUUUUU
rfam:Oryza glumipatula chromosome 7, whole genome shotgun sequence.